AGGAUGAACGCUGGCGGCGUGCCUAAUACAUGCAAGUCGAACGAGCUCUUCGGAGCUAGUGGCGGACGGGUGAGUAACACGUUGGUACCUACCCCGAAGUGGGGAAUAACUGCCCGAAAGGGUGGCUAAUACCGCAUAAUACCGCAAGGUUAAAGCGAGUAAUCGCGCUUCGGGAGGGGCCUGCGUCCCAUUAGCUAGUUGGUAGGGUAAUGGCCUACCAAGGCGACGAUGGGUAGCUGGAUCGAGAGGUUGACCAGCCACACUGGGACUGAGAUACGGCCCAGACUCCUACGGGAGGCAGCAGUAAGGAAUCUUCCACAAUGGACGAAAGUCUGAUGGAGCAACGCCGCGUGCAGGAUGACGGUCUUCGGAUUGUAAACUGCUUUUAUAUGGGAAGAUUAUGACGGUACCAUAUGAAUAAGGACCGCUAACUACGCGCCAGCAGCCGC
rnacentral:rRNA from 1 species